GUAGGGCGCGAGCGUUGUCCGGAAUUAUUGGGCGUAAAGAGCUUGUAGGCGGUUUGUUGCGUCUGCUGUGAAAGACCGGGGCUUAGCCCCGGUAUUGCAGUGGGUACGGGCAGACUAGAGUGCAGUAGGGGAGACUGGAAUUCCUGGUGUAGCGGUGAAAUGCGCAGAUAUCAGGAGGAACACCGAUGGCGAAGGCAGGUCUCUGGGCUGUAACUGACGCUGAGAAGCGAAAGCAUGGGGGGAGCGAACAGGAUUAGAUACCCUGGUAGUCCAUGCCCGUAAACGUUGGGCACUAGGUGUGGGGGACAUUCCACGUUUUCCGCGCCGUAGCUAACGCAUUAAGUGCCCCCGCCUGGGAGUACGGCCGCAAGGCUA
rnacentral:rRNA from 1 species